rnacentral:rRNA from 1 species
CGCAUCUGUGCAUGCAGCAUAUCAAUAAGCGGAGGAAAAGGGAAUCGGUCGCCCCAGUACCUACGCUUAGGAUGUUGACACACGCGCGUGCUCGAUCUAUACAUGACUCUGUGCAUAUCAAUAAGCGGAGGAAAAGGCUGCAGAACUGAACGACCGCUACCUACGCUUAGGAUGUUGACGCGCGUGUGUGCGUGAGUCUAUACAUGACUCUGCGCAUAUCAAUAAGCGGAGGAAAAGGCUGCGGAACUGAACGACCGCUACCUACGCUUAGGAUGUUGACACACGCGCGUGCUCGAUGAUAGUCUAUACAUGACUCUGUGCAUAUCAAUAAGCGGAGGAAAAGGGAUGUCAUUACAGCGAAAUGAAGCUACCUACGCUUAGGAUGUUGACACACGCGCGUGCUCGACUCUAUACAUGACUCUGCGCAUAUCAAUAAGCGGAGGAAAAGGAGUAUACCUACCUUAGGAUGUUGACACACGCGCGUGCUCGACUCUAUACAUGACUCUGUGCAUGCAGCAUAUCAAUAAGCGGAGGAAAAGAAACUAACAAGGAUUCCCUUAGUAACGGCGAGUGAAGCGGGAAGAGCUCAAAUUUGAAAUCUUCAAGGUUUUACCUUGACGAAUUGUAGUUUAAAGAAGUGUUUUCUGUUGAAGUUUUGGUAAAAGUUCUUUGGAAUAGGACAUCAUAGAGGGUGAGAAUCCCGUAUUUGACCAUUAUUUUCAGCUGUGUGAUACACUUUCAAAGAGUCGGAUUGUUUGGGAAUGCAGUCCAAAAUGGGUGGUAAAUUUCAUCUAAAGCUAAAUAUUGGCGAGAGACCGAUAGCGAACAAGUACCGUGAGGGAAAGAUGAAAAGAACUUUGAAAAGAGAGUUAAACAGUACGUGAAAUUGUCAAAAGGGAAGCGUUUGACACCAGUGUUGUUUUCUCGAAAAUCAAUUAAAAAGAGUUAGAUUUUGUUGUGUAUUGACCUUAACAGCUUGCAUUUCAAUUUUCUUGCUUUUUUUAAUGCACUUUUCGUUUAACAAGUCAACAUCAGUUUCUUUUGUUGUAAAAAGGUCAUUGGAAGGUGGCUUUCUUUUCGGAGAAAGUGUUUAUAGCCUUUGACUCCUGCAAUCGGAGAGACUGAGGUCUGCAGCGUAGAUCCUUCGGGGUUAGAUACAUUUGUGCUAAGUUAUAGCUUUUUAUAGACAACUUGUUGACUAUGAUUAGUCUUGUAGCUUACUCGCUUAUGCUAUUUUACCUACGCUUAGGAUGUUGACACACGCGCGUGCUCG